rnacentral:rRNA from 1 species
GGGGGCAACCCUGGUGGCGAGUGGCGAACGGGUGAGUAAUACAUCGGAACGUGUCCUGUAGUGGGGGAUAGCCCGGCGAAAGCCGGAUUAAUACCGCAUACGCUCUACGGAGGAAAGGGGGGGAUCUUAGGACCUCUCGCUACAGGGGCGGCCGAUGGCAGAUUAGCUAGUUGGUGGGGUAAAGGCCUACCAAGGCGACGAUCUGUAGCUGGUCUGAGAGGACGACCAGCCACACUGGGACUGAGACACGGCCCAGACUCCUACGGGAGGCAGCAGUGGGGAAUUUUGGACAAUGGGGGCAACCCUGAUCCAGCAAUGCCGCGUGUGUGAAGAAGGCCUUCGGGUUGUAAAGCACUUUUGUCCGGAAAGAAAACCUUUGCCCUAAUACGGCGGGGGGAUGACGGUACCGGAAGAAUAAGCACCGGCUAACUACGUGCCAGCAGCCGCGGUAAUACGUAGGGUGCAAGCGUUAAUCGGAAUUACUGGGCGUAAAGCGUGCGCAGGCGGUUCGCUAAGACAGAUGUGAAAUCCCCGGGCUUAACCUGGGAACUGCAUUUGUGACUGGCGGGCUAGAGUAUGGCAGAGGGGGGUAGAAUUCCACGUGUAGCAGUGA